UACGUAGGGGGCGAGCGUUAUCCGGAAUCAUUGGGCGUAAAGCGCGCGCAGGCGGGCUUUCAAGCGGCGGCGUCGAAGCCGGGGGCUCAACCCCCGGAAGCGCCCCGAACUGGAAGCCUCGGAUGCGGCAGGGGGAGGCGGAAUUCCCGGUGUAGCGGUGAAAUGCGCAGAUAUCGGGAAGAACACCGACGGCGAAGGCAGCCUCCUGGGCCGGCAUCGACGCUGAGGCGCGAAAGCUGGGGGAGCGAACAGG
rnacentral:rRNA from 2 species